GGGGGGGGCUUGACUUGAUUGAGAUGAUGAUGGUUGAUUGUGUGUGUACCAGUGUUGUGAGGAUAAAUUAGUCUGAGCAUGUUGGCGCACACCUACUAGUCACCCUACCUCACCAGCAGUGCCAGGCCUUUGACAGUCACUAACCUACAUACCUUACUACUACUCCAACACACUCACCCACACACCUUACUACUACUCCAACACACUCACCCACACACCUUACUACUACUCCAACACACUCACCCACACACCUUACUACUACUACUCCAACACAACACGCUAAACCACACACCUUACUACUACUCCAACACAACACGCUAAACCACACACCUUAUUCUACUCCAACACAACACGCUAACCCACACACCUUAUUCUACUCCAACACAACACGCUAACCCACACACCUUAUUCUACUCCAACACAACACGCUAACCCACACACCUUAUUCUACUCCAACACAACACGCUAACCCACACACCUUACUACUACUCCAACACAACACGCUAACCCACACACCUUACUACUGCUCCAACACAACACGCUAACCCACACACCUUACUACUUGUCCCUCACAACACACGGCAAAAUAUGAAUUCUCUCUUCAACCCGUUCAGUUUUAAGACCACAAAAAUCAUAAUCCCUUAUUCUAUCCGUUCUCAAGUGCAUAUUUGUAAAGCGGACCAAAAGUAGAUAUUUUCUCAUUUUUAAAAAUAUAUAUAUAUAAGAAUAAUUCAAUAUGUAUUCAUUUUGAUUUGAUUUCUUGUGGUUGAUCUGUCAUCUGUGGUUGCUUCUUUGGUAGCUCUUCUGUGAUUGGUUGACUGUGAAUAGGGCAAGGGGCGCGGGCAUCAGCUUCUGACAACACUGGAUACUCAUUUUGAACUUGAACUAUGGAUAGCUUUUAGGACACGGAGAACAUACAGGCAAAAUGCAUUGAAAUGGAAGAAUCUUGUUGAUACUACUGAAAUGACUUAGUUUUUUUAUUCAUCUUGAGAACUGUCUGCACCAAUGCUUUGCCUAGAUUUAAUUUAUUGUUAUUUAUUGUGAUUCUGUUUCACUAUAUUAGAAGUUAUUCUUCCGUUAUGCACACGUAUCCAUGCUUAAACUAGUCUUGAAAAUGAAAUUAAUUCUGAGGAAUUUUUCAACUGAGAAACAAAAUGUACCCGCAAAAGGACAUUAAUUUGUUUUCACAGGAUUGUGGAUUUGAUAAACUACAUUUAUCCUUCGAUGUACAUGGUGCUUAGAUCAUGCUUGUGGGGUUUACUUGGAAAGAGGAUCAUUCUACUGCUAUUGCCUUUUACUAGUUUUCAUUGAAGCUAAAGUGCAUUCACUUUUUACAUAGAAAAGGUUAUUCACCUUGCUUACAGGUAAUUGAAGGCUUUGGGCAUUUGUUUACAUUUACACACAUAACAAUCUUACACAACCUGACUGUACUAUCACCUAACAUGCUGUUAGAGAUGGCUCUUGAACUUUAAACCUUGACCUUUUUGUUGUGAAAAUACUGAAGAUGUUAAGAUGAAUUGUGUAUUCAUUUGUGCCUGGAGUGCAAACAGCUUACAGAUGUGCUUUAGAAUCUUGAAAGUGCUUUUUUUUUGGUCUUGCAUGCAUUUUAUUUGUGCUGCUAGAAUCUAUUGGUUUGUCUACUUUUUUUUGUUUCCGUUGGAAUAUGUGCCAGGCAGUAAAUGCUAUAUUCACUCUUCAACCUCAUCAAACCUGCCUGUUAUAAAACUGGACUUGAGUCAAUGCUGUCAACAAAAAAUUAGGUUCUAAUCAUAAAUAAUAAUUCACAAAGAAAAGUAUUUAAGUUUAGAAUCUCGUUAGAAUGACGCCAUCUGUUGGAAGACAAUAGGGCCUUUCCUGUUUUUAGUUCUUUGAUAAUUGAGUCCAUGUCUAACCUAAAAGGUUAGAUCCAGCAACGACUACAGAACAUAUCAACUACUCUCAAACUGUCAGUUGGGAGGGGUGAGAAUGGCAGCUUCACUGAUCCACAAGAGACUCCAGUGCCUUUUGAUUUCACAGAGACAGAUGGGCCUACACCUCUGGUCUGACUCAGCGGUUCCAGAUAUAGGCUCUCAUUCCUAUGGUAGAGGGAGGUGAAAAUGUCUGUUCACGUGAAGAUGAGGAUGUAGGCCCGUGAGACUGUACAGUUCUACCCUUGGUCCUGACCUUUCAUCUAAACGAUGACUACUGGCCACCUGUUAUUGGCCAGUGGCCCCACUUGACGGUUUAUACUGGGUGGGGCUUCCUCCAUAGAGUUGCUGUUGGACAGAGCAUUGGGAGAGAACUACUACAGAUGUUAUUACUAAACUAACAAAGAUUGGAAUACAACUGGACUGGGAUAUUUGCCAAUAGCAACACUGUACUUUCAUGAUCAUUUCCAUUUGUUGUAUGAUAUUAAAUUAUUGCUGUAUGUUUGCUUUAUUCAGUUUGAUUGAAAUAUUUUCCUGAUCUAUUUGAAGUGCCAUUUGACAGUCUAGUGAGUUGUGGCCCGUUGUAGCACGCUCUAAUGCAAGCACAAGCAUUUGGCAGUGGAUUUCUGGGAACCUUUUAGUUGAAAACACCCCAGACGUAACCAAGAUGUAAAUAUAGGCAAAAUGGGAAGAAAUGAUAUUUAUUUACCAUCUCUGAAAAAUGUUUUGUUCUGUUUAGAGUUUGGGGUUUUAUUUCAUCUGAUCUGUUGGCAAAAGUACUUUGUGAUUUCUCUUUUUGGAUAAUGUAUUGUAUUUAUAUACAUAUAUCAUGUGACUUUCUUUAUGUGUUUGAAGUUACCUCUUAGUAUAUUAUAUCUUCUUAAAUUGGCAAGAGCAAACCAAUAAGUGUAGGGUGAUUUGUAUUGUGUAUUUUACAUAAAAGAUGAGGAAAACUGGGGAACUUUUAUAUUUAUAAAGGCAUAUAUUAACAUUUAGUGUGUCGUAAUGAUGAAAAUAUAGGAACUAUUAAGGACACAUGUAGUUUUGUUUUCUGAAUAUUUCAGACUUGAGCUCAGGCUAGCUUAUUAGUGUUGUUUUCUUAAAAUCUGUGGCUUGUCUUUAAAUGAAUAAACUUUUCUUGUUGAAAAUAAGUAAUUUAAUGAAUGUUUCUCUCUUUCAUUGAAGAAGAAUCCAGAAGAUAAAAGGCUAAAAGCAGUGGGUGGCACACUUGGGAUCCCUGCCUUUAUGGGUAAUAUUCAUGCUAGGAUCAAGCAAAAUAAGGCUGUAAUCAUAAAUUAUGGUAAAGAAUGAGCACUGGUGUUGUGUCCAAGACCGAGAUCAGAACAGUGUCCAAUUCAAGUGAAUCAUUUCAGAUUGCCACCAUAAGUCUAG
ensembl:lncRNA